rnacentral:rRNA from 1 species
CCUACGGGGUGCAGCAGUGGGGAAUAUUGGACAAUGGGCGAAAGCCUGAUCCAGCCAUGCCGCGUGUGUGAAGAAGGCCUUCGGGUUGUAAAGCACUUUCAGUGGGGAAGAAAGCCUUGGGGCUAAUACCCUCGAGGAAGGACAUCACCCACAGAAGAAGCACCGGCUAACUCCGUGCCAGCAGCCGCGGUAAUACGGAGGGUGCGAGCGUUAAUCGGAAUUACUGGGCGUAAAGCGCGCGUAGGCGGUCUGAUAAGCCGGUUGUGAAAGCCCCGGGCUCAACCUGGGAACGGCAUCCGGAACUGUCAGGCUAGAGUGCAGGAGAGGAAGGUAGAAUUCCCGGUGUAGCGGUGAAAUGCGUAGAGAUCGGGAGGAAUACCAGUGGCGAAGGCGGCCUUCUGGACUGACACUGACGCUGAGGUGCGAAAGCGUGGGUAGCAAACAGGAUUUGAUACCCCAGUAGUC